AUAUAUGUUAUUAGUAUAAUUAAUUAUACCACUUUUCCAAAGUGGAGAUCUGUUUAUCUUAGAUAACAUAUAUU
rnacentral:tRNA from 1 species